UACGUAGGGGGCAAGCGUUGUCCGGAAUCAUUGGGCGUAAAGGGUGCGUAGGCGGUGCCGUAAGUCGGAUGUGAAAUCCCGGGGCUUAACCCCGGAACUGCAUUCGAUACUGCGGUGCUCGAGGACUGGAGAGGAGAUUGGAAUUCACGGUGUAGCAGUGAAAUGCGUAGAUAUCGUGAGGAAGACCAGUGGCGAAGGCGGAUCUCUGGACAGUUCCUGACGCUGAGGCACGAAGGCCAGGGGAGCAAACGGG
rnacentral:rRNA from 1 species